rnacentral:rRNA from 1 species
UACGUAGGGGGCAAGCGUUGUUCGGAAUUACUGGGCGUAAAGGGCGCGUAGGCGGCACGGCAAGUCAGGAGUGAAAGCCCUGGGCUCAACCCGGGAACUGCUUUUGAAACUGCCGAGCUAGAGUGCGGAAGGGGCAACUGGAAUUCCCAGUGUAGCGGUGAAAUGCGUAGAUAUUGGGAAGAACACCUGAGGCGAAGGCGGGUUGCUGGGCCGACACUGACGCUGAGGCGCGAAAGCCAGGGGAGCGGACGGG